rnacentral:tRNA from 1 species
GCCGGAAUAGCUCAGUCGGUAGAGCAGAGGACUG